GUUAAAAAGCUCGUAGUUGAAUGUCUGCCUCGAGCGUCGUGCCGUUCGCCUUGCGCGAAUGUAGCGUCGGCGUCUUUGGGCAUCCCUGCGGAGAAGCUCGUGGGCAUUAAGUUGUCGGCGUGUCGAUUCGCAUCGUUUACUGUGAAAAAAUUAGAGUGUUUAAAGCAGGCAAUUGCUGUGAAUACAUUAGCAUGGAAUAAUAAGAUAGGACUUGUUGCUAUUUUGUUGGUUUGCACAACAAGUAAUGAUUAACAGGAACAGUUUGGGAGUGUUCGUAUUUAAUUGUCAGAGGUGAAAUUCUUGGAUUUAUGAGAGACGAACAACUGCGAAAGCAUUCACUAAGGAUGUUUUCAUUAAUCAAGAACGAAAGUUAGGGGAUCGAAGAUGAUUAGAUACCAUCGU
rnacentral:rRNA from 1 species